GCGAGGUUGGCGCAGUCGGGAGCGCGUAGGUCUCAUAAUCCUAAGGUCGUCAGUUCGAUCCUGGCACCUCGCA